ACGUGCGUUUGCGUGGCUCUUCGCGGCCAGGCAACCGGGCGCGUCCCGGGGACAGAGCCCGGCCCGCCCUGCGCUCCUCCGCGUCUCAGGUCCACCUGGAGAGACGCUCGAUGCGCACGCGGGACGCGAGAACCAGGACACGCGCUGCAACGCUCACUGAGACGGUUCCUGGAUGUCAGGCGGUUCCUGCAGGAGGUUGAGGAGGCCCUUGGGGGCCCUUGGAGCCAAGGGCAGUGCUGAGCCCAGGGCCGUGGACACAGAAAUGCCAGCUUCAGAAACGUUCUCUGGCCCCACCGCUGGGACACGACAUCACAGCCUCCUCCAUCUGGGAGAAAGUCCACGCAGCCC